rnacentral:rRNA from 1 species
GAUGAGGACUCCCACCCACUUUGUUGGGGUAAGGCUCCCAGUAGACGACUGGGUUGAUAGGCCGGAGAUGGAAGACCUGUGAGGGUUGGAGUUGACCGGUACUAAUAGGCCGAGGGCUUGACCAUAU